rnacentral:lncRNA from 1 species
UGCAGGGCCAUGAGUGAUUUAUCAUGUAGUCAAGUACAACUGUGAAGGAGACCUCCUCUUGACCAUUACCAAAGUCCCUAUCAUGAAUGUGUGGUGCUCUGUGAAUGGGGAGAAGCUGGGCACCUACAUGGUUCUUAUUGAAGCUGUGUAGUGUGUGUAUACUGACAUGGAUACCAAGCAUGUCCCACAGCCCAGCUGACAAGAGCUGUCAGCUCUGAGAUUGAGACAGGGAAACAGCUGGCUCUACUCAAGAUCAACCAGCUGUCUGGAGGUGUGGUUUUGACUUUGCGGGCAACAUCUACAUGUUUUCCAUGAGAAGCAGAUGGGAUAUCAGAGUUUUGAUCUACAAGAUCCAAGACAGAUGGACAGUGAUAUGAAGAUACCCUGCAGUGAUCCCAAGAUCACCAGAGCUGUUUGUGAACUCCUGAGGUAAUAAUUCAUCUAUCACAGGCCAUGAGAGUGGAGAGCUCAACCAAUAUAGUGCAAAGUCUGGAGAGGUGUUGGUGAAUGUUCAGGAGUACUCCUGGUAGAUCAAUGACAUCUAGCUGUCUGGAGACAUGGCCAUGUUUGCCAUAGCAUCCAAGGAGAGCACAGCUUAGUUCUGACUCUGUGAGUGUUGAACUUCAGAAGACUUAUCUCACCUGCUUUUUCUCCCAACUCUGACCAUGUCAUGCUAGGAGGUUGUAAGUCAUAGAUGUAACCACAAUUUCCAUCAGGACUGGCAAGUUUGAGGCCAGGUUCUUCCACUUGUCCUUUGAAGAAGAUUUGGGAAAAGUCAAGAGCCACUCUAGAUCCAUCAACAACAUUGUCUUCCUUCCUGAUGGAAGAGCUACAGGAGCAGUGUCAAAGAGGGUUACAUCUGUAUCCACUGCUUCAAUCCACAGUGAAUCUGUGUUCAAGGCCUAAGAAGCU